GAUGAAGAACGUAGCGAAAUGCGAUAAGUAAUGCGAAUUGCAGAAUUCCGUGAGUCAUCGAAUCUUUGAACGCACAUUGCGCCCAUUAGUAUUCUAGUGGGCAUGCCUGUUCGAGCGUCAUUAAGUCCACUUAAGCCCUGCUUAGUGUUGGGAGACUGCUCCAGCGGUGCUACCCUGUAGCUACCCUGCAGCUCCUCAAAGACAGCGGCGGAGUUGUGGUAUCCUCUGAGCUUAGUAACUUGUUCUAGCUUUCGAGUACACCACUUCCCCUGCCGUAAAACCCUUAAUUUUUAAUGGUUGACCUCGGAUCAGGUAGGAAUACCCGCUGAACUUAAGCAUAUCAAUAAGCGGAGGA
rnacentral:misc_RNA from 1 species